rnacentral:rRNA from 1 species
GAGUUUGAUUAUGGCUCAGGAUGAACGCUAGCGAUAGGCUUAACACAUGCAAGUCGAGGGGCAUCACGGGAUUAGCUUGCUAAUCUUGGUGGCGACCGGCGUAAGGGUGCGUAACGCGUAUGCAACUUGCCUGUCAGUGGGGAAUAACCCGGAGAAAUCCGGACUAAUACCGCAUACACUUUAGUUUCCGCAUGGGGACUUUAGGAAAGAUUUAUUGCUGACAGAUAGGCAUGCGUUCCAUUAGAUAGUUGGUGAGGUAACGGCUCACCAAGUCAACGAUGGAUAGGGGAGCUGAGAGGCUUAUCCCCCACACUGGAACUGAGACACGGUCCAGACUCCUACGGGAGGCAGCAGUGAGGAAUAUUGGUCAAUGGGCGAGAGCCUGAACCAGCCAAGCCGCGUGAAGGAAGACGGUCCUAUGGAUUGUAAACUUCUUUAGUAGGUGAGUACAAGCAGUUACGUGUAGCUGUAGCAAGUACCUAGAUAU